rnacentral:rRNA from 1 species
UACACGCUGUGACUAGCAUAUCAAUAAGCGGAGGAAAAGAAACUAACAAGGAUUCCCUCAGUAACGGCGAGUGAAGCGGGAAGAGCUCAAAUUUGAAAUCUUGAAAGGUCACCUUUCACGAAUUGUAGUUUAAAGAAGUGUUUUCUGUUACGAUCGUAAUAUAAGUUCUUUGGAAUAGGACAUCACAGAGGGUGAGAAUCCCGUCUAUGAUUGCGAUUUGUAGCUUUGUGAUACACUUUCAAAGAGUCGGUUGUUUGGGAAUGCAGCCCAAAACGGGAGGUAAAUUUCUUCUAAGGCUAAAUAUUGGCGAGAGACCGAUAGCGAACAAGUACCGUGAGGGAAAGAUGAAAAGAACUUUGAAAAGAGAGUUAAAUAGUACGUGAAAUUGUCAAAAGGGAAGCGUUUAACACCAGUGUUGUUUUCUGAAAAUCAACCUCUGUUAGCUUUAUGCAUGUUUGUUUAGACCUAAUCAGCUAUCUUUCAUGUUCUAUUGUUUGCAGUGGUGCACUUUUCAGUUUACAGGUCAACAUCAGUUUUUUUUACCGUAAAAAAGUUAAAGAAAGGUAGCUCAUGGCUCCGGUCGUGAGUGUUAUAGUCUUUUUCCUAUGCGGUAGGAGAGACUGAGGUCUGCAGUGUAGGCUAUUUGGCUAGAUACUCAGGUGCUAUGUGAUACCAUUUCAUAAACAACUUGUUGAUUAUGUUUUGUCUAUUGCAUACUCGCUUGUACUAUCAUACCUACGCUUAGGAUGUUGAGUAGCGACAUACGCAC